UUGGUACGUAGCACUGUGACGACAUGAACAGGUCUAUAUAAAGGCCGGUAGUGCUUGUAGAUCGGUCCUUACAGUUCGCUUGGAGGAAGAGCAGAUGUGCUGGCUGCCGGCCAAAGAAAUUUGUAUUAGCGGAUAGUGCGAGCCUUUUUACAUGAGAAGCAGCGCAGAUAUGGCUGCCCUGGGUCCGCUGGCGCGGCGGCCGAAUAUCCCCCUCAUUCGCUCCUCUGGGUUUGAUUCCGGCUGAGUUUUUUUACUACUGCGAGAAAAUCCCCACCUGGAGCGUUAUAGUAAGUUUUCUUCUGGAAGCUUGAUGGAUCACAAUCUUUCACAAAUGGACCUGAUUCUUUGAGGUAGAGUGCAGCUGGGAUAUACCCCAAGUGGCAAGUCUUCUGUAAAGGAAAAUGGUUGAAUAACAGUUCUUCUACAUGCAGUUAAUUCUGCAGCAUGAAUAACUUUGGAGCCUGUUCUUGUGGAAAUCCUGUGAUCUUUCAGUAAAGGUUCAUCAAGAAUGACUAAAGCUGCCAUGCAGUGAAGCAUCUGCCUGGCACUACAUAAAGUGCUUCUGAAAGACUCCUAAUGUCAUCAUGAUAUGAGCCUUCAGUAAGAGAUUAAGUUAGAGGAAGAAUUGAGAAGUACUUCUGUUUUACAAGUUUAAUGAAAGACUCAAGUUCCAUGGUCUUUUGCAUACGAGUGGCAAAUGAUUGCAGUUCUCUGGCAUUACAUCAGCACUGUCUGUAGAACCCUUAAAGAUGUCAUGAGUGUUAAGAACCUGAAUCUUGGAACAUGUCUGGAUCCAACCAAGAUAUUGGAAUCAAAAUUGUUCUUAAUGGAAUAAAUCCCCAUUUCCUCCUUGUGGCCUGGAGACUGACUUCAAGAAAUAUGAAUUAAGAAUUAUGUAUAAAUGUUGGAGCUAUAUAAAUAAAGCACAAACUUCAUGGGAUUUUUUUUAUAUUUUUUUUAUUUCUAAAUAAGCAGUUUCCAUGCAUUAUAAGCAUCCAAUGAUAUUGCUGACAUUGUUUUAUUAAACAUUAUAUAGGGUAACUUUC